rnacentral:rRNA from 1 species
UACGUAGGGUCCGAGCGUUGUCCGGAAUUACUGGGCGUAAAGAGCUCGUAGGUGGUUUGUCGCGUUGUUCGUGAAAACUCACAGCUCAACUGUGGGCGUGCGGGCGAUACGGGCAGACUGGAGUACUGCAGGGGAGACUGGAAUUCCUGGUGUAGCGGUGGAAUGCGCAGAUAUCAGGAGGAACACCGGUGGCGAAGGCGGGUCUCUGGGCAGUAACUGACGCUGAGGCGCGACAGCGUGGGGAGCAAACAGG